CCUACGGGUGGCAGCAGUGGGGAAUAUUGCACAAUGGCGGUAACCCUGAUGCAGCGACGCCGCGUGAGUGAAGAAGUAUCUCGGUUCGUAAAGCUCUAUCAGCAGGGAAGAAAAUGACGGUACCUGACUAAGAAGCCCCGGCUAACUACGUGCAAGCAGCCGCGGUACUACGUAGGGGGCAAGCGUUAUCCGGAUUUACUGGGUGUAAAGGGGACGUAGACGGCAGAACAAGUCUGGAGUGAAAGCCCGGGGCUUAACCCUGGAACUGCUUUUGAAACUGUGAGGCUGGAGUGCAUGAGGGGUAGGCGGAAUGCCUAGUGUAGCGGUGAAAUGCAUAGAUAUUAGGAGGAACACCGGUUGCGAAGGCGGCUUACUGGACUGUAACUGACGUUGAGGCUCGAAAGCGUGGGGAGCAAACAGGAUUAGAUACCCCAGUAGUC
rnacentral:rRNA from 1 species